rnacentral:rRNA from 1 species
GAUGAACGCUGGCGGCGUGCCUAAUACAUGCAAGUCGAGCGAACAGACGAGGAGCUUGCUCCUCUGACGUUAGCGGCGGACGGGUGAGUAACACGUGGAUAACCUACCUAUAAGACUGGGAUAACUUCGGGAAACCGGAGCUAAUACCGGAUAAUAUAUUGAACCGCAUGGUUCAAUAGUGAAAGACGGUUUUGCUGUCACUUAUAGAUGGAUCCGCGCCGCAUUAGCUAGUUGGUAAGGUAACGGCUUACCAAGGCGACGAUGCGUAGCCGACCUGAGAGGGUGGUCGGCCACACUGGAACUGAGCCACGGUCCAGACUCCUACGGGAGGCAGCAGUAGGGAAUCUUCCGCAAUGGGCGAAAGCCUGACGGAGCAACGCCGCGUGAGUGAUGAAGGUCUUCGGAUCGUAAAACUCUGUUAUUAGGGAAAAACAAAUGUGUAAGUAACUAUGCACGUCUUGACGGUACCUAAUCAGAAAGCCACGGCUAACUACGUG